rnacentral:misc_RNA from 1 species
GAUGAAGAACGUAGCGAAAUGCGAUAAGUAAUGUGAAUUGCAGAAUUCAGUGAAUCAUCGAAUCUUUGAACGCACAUUGCGCCCCCUGGUAUUCCGGGGGGCAUGCCUGUUCGAGCGUCAUUUCACCACUCAAGCCUCGCUUGGUAUUGGGCAACGCGGUCCGCCGCGUGCCUCAAAUCGUCCGGCUGGGUCUUCUGUCCCCUAAGCGUUGUGGAAACUAUUCGCUAAAGGGUGUUCGGGAGGCUACGCCGUAAAACAGCCCCAUUUCUAAGGUUGACCUCGGAUCAGGUAGGGAUACCCGCUGAACUUAAGCAUAUCAAUAAGCGGAGGA